GCCGAGGAGGGAGAUCGGGCGCGGGAUGUCGACGGGCGGCAUUCGGGGCGCCUCUUUUGGAAACUGCGAUUAUGAGAGGAAACUUCAAAUUGAUUGCCUGAAUCGGUUCUUGGGAUGGUGAGUACUGAUGGGGUGGUUUCCUUUCGAAGAGAGACGCGUGGGAAGGAAAGAAAUCGAAGGAAGAAAAUAUGGAAGUUUCCUUUACGUGCAGAGGAGGAAGAACACGAGCACGAGCUCGUGCUCAGCUGGGCUGCUCGGUGGAGAUGGGCCGGCCCAGUUUGGGUCGUUCCAUUCUCUCUUUUUUUUCCUUCUUUUUUUUCCAUUUUCUGUUUUUAUUAAUAACUUUUGAUUCCUAAUUCCAAAUAAGUCCAAAUAAACUCCAGAAAAUUUGUAAAUUCAAAUCCUCCGAAGUGUGAGCUUUUGGGACUUGAAUCCUUUCAAAAUAAAAUAAGUAAAAAUACUUUUGCUUACAUAAAUGUCAUUAGGG
rnacentral:lncRNA from 1 species